GACGAACGCUGGCGGCGUGCCUAAUACAUGCAAGUAGAACGCUGAAGGAGUAGCUUGCUCUUCUGGAUGAGUUGCGAACGGGUGAGUAACGCGUAGGUAACCUGCCUGUUAGCGGGGGAUAACUUUUGGAAACGAUAGCUAAUACCGCAUAAGAGUAGAUGUUGCAUGACAUUUGCUUGAAAGUUGCAAUUGCAUCACUACCAGAUGGACCUUCGUUGUAUUAGCUAGUUGGUGGGGUAACGGCUCACGAAGGCGACGAUCCAUAGGCGAACGGAGAGGGGGGUUGGCCGCCCUGGGACGGUGACAGGCCCCAGAGUGCCUGGGGAGGCAGCCGGAGGGCAUCUUGGGACAGGGGCGGAAAUCAGAGCGCGAAACGCCGAGGGAGGGAGGAAGGAUUUCGGAUCGGAAAGGUCGGUUGUAAGGGAAGAAAGAGUGUGAGAGUGGAACGUUCACAGUGUGACGGUAACUGAUAAGAAAGGGACGGCUAACUACGUG
rnacentral:rRNA from 1 species